rnacentral:lncRNA from 1 species
UUUGUCCUUUUGUGCAUCCAUGUCAUCCUCUUUUGCUCUACUGCCCGUGCUUUAAAUUUAUCGAUGCCUUCCCGAUUUGUUAUUAUGGCUGGGCUGUAGGUCCUCUCUUCAAUUCUCUUCGUCUCCUUCAAUUCCACCCACACAAACCGAUCAAAAGCCACUGAUGAUUGUUUCCGUCUCCCUCUUCGACGUCUUCAUCUUUUUUAUUGAAGCAAACAUUAUGUCGUUCCCUAUCCUGAUGGUUCCUUCCAUCUUCCGUGAAGCAAUAUGUCUCCACUAAAUUGGCCUUCAAGUCUUGAAAUCAAAACUCCCUUCACAUCCUCAUCCCGCUGUACUUAUAUACUGCUAUAUGACGACGACGACUUAUGUAGUCUGCUUCAAACCCGGCCUCUCCCCUCCAUAGAUCGAGAUGUGGCAGUGUCUUGAGGGAAUCGGCUGGCCGAGGCAGUUCCCUCACCUCACAUAGCGCGUGCUCUUCCUCCUUCCUCUCUUGAGACUUGCGGCGACUACACAAUAGCAGAUGGAGAGCGGCAGGACCGGAUCCAGGUGAGUCCCCAACUAUAAGUCACGCUCGUCGGGGGAUCGAUCCAUGCCUAUCCAUUCCGUCCACCCGUCGAUCGAUCUGACGCAAUCGAUUCAUAGUAUUUUUCUUGAAUUUCGUGGUCCAUGGAGUCCCGGGCCAUUAGUCCCGGCGAGACGACGCUGUCAUACAUGUAUGCGUCGUGGCCCCGUCCAACGCUGUGAAGGAGCUGCGGAGCGGAGGUGGGGCGCGGUGGCGCGCGUGUGUCGGCGUGCUAGCCGCGUCGGCCGUGGUAUUGCUGAUGGUGGGCGGCGAUGUGGCGGCGGACAUGCCGCGGCUAACGGAGACGCCGUGGAGUCUUGGAAGGAAAGCUGGCGUGUCGGAGAAGACCUCCUCGGCUGCGGAUGAGAUGGGGUUCCUCGGUGCGGGCGCCGACGCUGGCAGGUUCUCCUAGAGCAAAGCCAUGCUCCGGGUUCCCCUGGAGCAAAGCCAUUCUCCAGUGGCAGCGCACCUGCUUCCAUUUUCAGCCCGAGAAAAACUGGAUAAACUUUACGUGCAUGAUCCAUCCAUUUCUAGCCAUUAAUCCCUUGCUUUUGAUUGCAGGGCACUGUACUGACUUUUCUCCUUUGAUUAUAGGUGCACGAAAGUGAGGCCAUGACCAGGAGCUAGGUGGCGGUGGACUGGAGAUUUUCUCUCUGUUAAUACUGCCUCCCUCUCUCUCUCCAUAAAUAUCCAUGUCUUCUCUAUGUUCGCUUUCUCUCUGUUAAUUCUCUAGGAAGGAUCAACAGAUUAUGAAUCACAGACUCUGAAUGGUGCGACGGGUUCAGUGGGCAUGUGCGACUAUAUCCUACACCUUCGUCUAAUCUAUGUAAUUGAGCUAUUUUUGGCACUCUCAAGCGAUUGUUAUGAACUAGUUGAAUAAUAACAAACUAUGGCAAAAUAUUUCAGUACUGAAUAGCAGUAGAAAGUUU